GAUGAAGAACGCAGCGAAAUGCGAUACGUAAUGUGAAUUGCAGAAUUCAGUGAAUCAUCGAAUCUUUGAACGCACAUUGCGCCCCUUGGUAUUCCGAGGGGCAUGCCUGUUCGAGCGUCAUUAUAACCCCUCAAGCUCAGCUUGGUGUUGGGGCCUGCCGCACGGGCAGCCCUUAAAAUCAGUGGCGGUGCCAUCUGGCUCUAAGCGUAGUAAUUCUUCUCGCUAUAGAGUCCCGGUGGAUGCUUGCCAUUAACCCCCAAUUUUCUAUGGUUGACCUCGGAUCAGGUAGGAUUACCCGCUGAACUUAAGCAUAUCAAUAAGCGGAGGA
rnacentral:misc_RNA from 1 species